rnacentral:rRNA from 1 species
AUUAAACGCUGGCGGCAUGCCUUACACAUGCAAGUCGAACGGCAGCACGGGGGCAACCCUGGUGGCGAGUGGCGGACGGGUGAGUAAAGCAUCGGAACGUAUCCUGGAGUGGGGGAUAACGUAGCGAAAGUUACGCUAAUACCGCAUAUUCUGUGAGCAGGAAAGCAGGGGAUCGCAAGACCUUGCGCUCUGGGAGCGGCCGAUGUCGGAUUAGCUAGUUGGUGGGGUAAAGGCCUACCAAGGCGACGAUCCGUAGCGGGUCUGAGAGGAUGAUCCGCCACACUGGGACUGAGACACGGCCCAGACUCCUACGGGAGGCAGCAGUGGGGAAUUUUGGACAAUGGGCGGAAGCCUGAUCCAGCCAUGCCGCGUGAGUGAAGAAGGCCUCGGUGUAAGCUCUUUCGGUCGGGGAAGGAAAUUAGCACGGGUUAAUACCCUGUGUAGAUGACGGUACCCGAAUAAGAAGCACCGGCUAACUACGUGCCAGCAGCCGCGGUAA